UGAGACAGAGAAAAGUAAGAGAGAGCCAGGAAUCUAGCUCAGCCUGGUGCAGAACUUGUAGGAGACUAGCAAAGAGCCCACAGGCCAGAACCGGGCAAGAAGAGAGUAGUGAGAACCUGUCUCAGGUGUCCUGAUCCUAUUUUGGUGAAGUUGGUAUGCAGGUUCCCUAAUCUACCUGGGUUAGAGGAAGGUCGGAGGUUAUCUGGUGGCAAAUUAAAGCCCAAGUCAAAGUGCUUGCUUGGACAUGAGAGAAUCACCUAGGAGCAAUGUUUCCUUACAAUAGAGUGGUAUUAGAGAAAUGGGCUGUCCAUGUAUUCUGUUCUUUCAAGACUGAUCCAUGUGGUACCAUGAAAGUGCUAGCAGAUGUUUUGGGAAGAAAAUGUUUCACAUCUGCCUAUACACCAUCUUCUGUAACCUCACUUUGACGAAAUGGGGUUGGAUUGUGGACACUGUCGUCUCUCAUUUAACACACAGGACAGUGUUGACACAAAGUUCCGUUGUUGUUGUUGGCGUCUGCCCUCCUGCUUCUAUCCCACAAAGCCUGCCCCCUGCUCAGACCGACUGAUGGAAGCUCUAUCUGCUCCAAGAAAGAGGCCAACCGACCUGAUAAACCAACAACUGUCUCAGGCAGAGCUGAGCACACAAGAGCCCUUCUUCUCACCAGGAGAAGUGCAGACAGAGGAGAAGUUGAGGGGAUACUCUGAGAGGUGUGUUUGAAAGGAGAGAAGAGAGAACACUUCUCCGCAAUCUUAAAUCAAGGUGCUCCUAGAGAUGGUUGGGCCUCUCCAUCUCCCCCCAACCCCCAAAGGAAGGACAAACGAAGGGUGCUGCUGUGUCUGUGUCUCACCCUUCCACCUGAUGGCCGUUAGCAGGCAUCCCCAAAGAAGUUCUCACAUUGUGCUCUCGGAAACCAGCUACGGUGAGAGCAGGCAUCAGUAAUGAGUAAGCGUGAUGGGUGAAGGGGUGUGUGCAGAACAGAACUGCCCCAGGCUACACAUCUUCUGUUACCCCGUAUUAUUUAAAUGAGCACUCAGAAUAGACCCCCCCAGUGGACAAGAAUAUCUUUUGUGUCACUUGGUCUCUGCCCCCUCCGUGCACGCACUCCUCCACAUGCAUAAACACCCUUCCCUCGUCAGCUUUUCAGCCACCCUCUUUCCCAAAUUCACAGCCAGCUCCUCUUGGCAAAGGUUGCAAUGUUGUUCACGCCAUGAGAAAUAUCCCCAUAUCAUUAUCA
rnacentral:lncRNA from 1 species